rnacentral:piRNA from 1 species
UCAAAUAAAGAAUCGUGUCCUCUGCAAACC